rnacentral:tRNA from 1 species
AAAAAAGUAAGCUAAUAUAAGCUACUGGGCUCAUACCCCAUUUAUAGGAAUUAUACUGUCCUCUUUUUUA